rnacentral:tRNA from 1 species
GGGGUAUAGCUCAGUGAUAGAGUGUUUGCCCAGCAUGCACAAGGCCAUGGGUUUGAACCCAAGCUCCG